UGGGGAAUUUUGGACAAUGGGCGAAAGCCUGAUCCAGCAAUGCCGCGUGUGUGAGAAGCAGCUUCGGGUUGUAAAGCACUUUUGUCCGGAAAGAAAUCCUUGGCUCUAAUACAGUCGGGGGAUGACGGUACCGGAAGAAUAAGCACCGGCUAACUACGUGCCAGCAGCCGCGGUAAUACGUAGGGUGCAAGCGUUAAUCGGAAUUACUGGGCGUAAAGCGUGCGCAGGCGGUUUGCUAAGACCGAUGUGAAAUCCCCGGGCUCAACCUGGGAACUGCAUUGGUGACUGGCAGGCUAGAGUAUGGCAGAGGGGGGUAGAAUUCCACGUGUAGCAGUGAAAUGCGUAGAGAUGUGGAGGAAUACCGAUGGCGAAGGCAGCCCCCUGGGCCAAUACUGACGCUCAUGCACGAAAGCGUGGGGAGCAAACAGGAUUAGAUACCCUGGUAGUCCACGCCCUAAAACGAUGUCAACUAGUUGUUGGGGAUUCAUUUCCUUAGUAACGUAGCUAACGCGUGAAGUUGACCGCCUGGGGAGUACGGUCGCAAGAUUAAAACUCAAAGGAAUUG
rnacentral:rRNA from 1 species